AGACUCCGGCGCAGGGGGCGGUGAGCCUGCUGCCUCGGUUACUGGGGAGCAACACAGCCGCCUCGGGUUGCCGGCGCUCCUGUCCGGGUCGCAGUGGGACGCCAUGGAGCGCUCCCUGCACCGCGUCUCCCUCGGGAGCCGGCGUGCCCACCCGGACUUGUCCUUCUACCUCACCACCUUUGGUCAGCUGAGGCUGUCCAUUGAUGCCCAGGACCGAGUUCUGCUGCUUCACAGUCUCUUUAUUUGUGUGGGUGGAUAUGUCUAUAUGUGUCUCUUUUUCUCGCUGUGUGUGUGUGUAUGUUUCCAUUCAUCCACCCCAAUGUCUGAAUUCUCUUUUAGUUAUAGAAGGUAAAGGCCUGAUCAGCAAACAGCCUGGCACCUGUGAUCCGUAUGUGAAGAUUUCUUUGAUCCCUGAAGAUAAUAGACUACGCCACCAGAAGACGCAGACCGUUCCAGACUGCAGAGACCCGGCUUUCCACGAGCACUUCUUCUUUCCUGUCCAAGAGGAGGAUGAUCAGAAGCGUCUCUUGGUUACUGUGUGGAACAGGGCCAGCCAGUCCAGACAGAGUGGACUCAUUGGCUGCAUGAGCUUUGGGGUGAAGUCUCUCCUGACUCCAGACAAGGAGAUCAGUGGUUGGUACUACCUCCUAGGGGAGCACCUGGGCCGGACCAAGCACUUGAAGGUGGCCAGGCGGCGACUGCGGCCGCUGAGAGACCCGCUGCUGAGAAUGCCAGGAGGUGGGGACACUGAGAAUGGGAAGAAACUAAAGAUCACCAUCCCGAGGGGAAAGGACGGCUUUGGCUUCACCAUCUGCUGCGACUCUCCAGUCCGAGUCCAGGCCGUGGAUUCCGGGGGUCCGGCGGAACGGGCAGGGCUGCAGCAGCUGGACACGGUGCUGCAGCUGAACGAGAGGCCUGUGGAGCACUGGAAAUGUGUGGAGCUGGCCCACGAGAUCCGGAGCUGCCCCAGUGAGAUCAUCCUACUCGUGUGGCGCAUGGUCCCCCAGGUCAAGCCAGGACCGGAUGGUGGGGUCCUGCGGCGGGCCUCCUGCAAGUCGACACAUGACCUCCAGUCACCCCCCAACAAACGGGAGAAGAACUGCACCCAUGGGGUCCAGGCACGGCCCGAGCAGCGCCACAGCUGCCACCUGGUAUGUGACAGCUCUGAUGGGCUGCUGCUCGGCGGCUGGGAGCGCUACACCGAGGUGGCCAAGCGUGGGGGCCAGCACACCCUGCCUGCACUGUCCCGUGCCACUGCCCCCACCGACCCCAACUACAUCAUCCUGGCCCCGCUGAAUCCUGGGAGCCAGCUGCUCCGGCCUGUGUACCAGGAGGAUACCAUCCCCGAAGAAUCAGGGAGUCCCAGUAAAGGGAAGUCCUACACAGGCCUGGGGAAGAAGUCCCGGCUGAUGAAGACAGUGCAGACCAUGAAGGGCCACGGGAACUACCAAAACUGCCCGGUUGUGAGGCCGCAUGCCACGCACUCAAGCUACGGCACCUACGUCACCCUGGCCCCCAAAGUCCUGGUGUUCCCUGUCUUUGUUCAGCCUCUAGAUCUCUGUAACCCUGCCCGGACCCUCCUGCUGUCAGAGGAGCUGCUGCUGUACGAAGGGAGGAACAAGGCUGCCGAGGUGACACUGUUUGCCUAUUCGGACCUGCUGCUCUUCACCAAGGAGGAUGAGCCUGGCCGCUGCGACGUCCUGAGGAACCCUCUCUACCUCCAGAGUGUGAAGCUGCAGGAAGGUUCUUCAGAAGACCUGAAAUUCUGCGUGCUCUAUCUAGCAGAGAAGGCAGAGUGCUUAUUCACUUUGGAAGCGCACUCGCAGGAGCAGAAGAAGAGAGUGUGCUGGUGCCUGUCAGAGAACAUCGCCAAGCAGCAACAGCUGGCCGCGUCGCCCCCGGACAGCAAGAUGUUUGAGACGGAGGCAGAUGAGAAGAGGGAGAUGCCCUUGGAGGAAGGGAAGGGGCCUGGUGCCGAGGAUUCCCCACCCAGCAAGGAGCCCUCUCCUGGCCAGGAGCUUCCUCCAGGACAAGACCUUCCACCCAACAAGGAUUCCCCUUCUGGGCAGGAACCCGCUCCCGGCCAAGAACCACUGUCCAGCAAAGACUCAGCUACCUCUGAAGGAUCCCCUCCAGGCCCAGACGCUCCGCCCAGCAAGGAUGCGCCACCAUGCCAGGAACCCCCUCCAGCCCAAGACCUCUCACCCUGCCAGGACCUGCCUGCUGGUCAAGAACCCCUGCCUCACCAGGACCCUCUACUCACCAAAGACCUCCCUGCCAUCCAGGAAUCCCCCACCCAGGACCCUCCACCCUGUCAAGAUCUGCCUCCUAGCCAGGUCUCUCUGCCGGCCAAGGCCCUUACUGAGGACACCAUGAGCUCCGGGGACCCACUAGCAGCUACCGGGGACCCACCUGCGGCCUCCAGGCCAGCCUUUGUGAUCCCCGAGGUCCGGCUGGAUAGCACCUACAGCCAGAAGGCAGGGGCAGAGCAGGGCUGCUCGGGAGAUGAGGAGGAUGCAGAAGAGGCCGAGGAGGUGGAGGAGGGGGAGGAAGGGGAGGAGGACGAGGAUGAGGACACCAGCGAUGACAACUACGGAGAGCGCAGUGAGGCCAAGCGCAGCAGCAUGAUCGAGACGGGCCAGGGGGCUGAGGGUGGCCUCUCACUGCGUGUGCAGAACUCGCUGCGGCGCCGGACACACAGCGAGGGCAGCCUGCUGCAGGAGCCCCGAGGGCCCUGCUUCGCCUCCGACACCACCUUGCACUGCUCAGACGGUGAGGGUGCCGCCUCCACCUGGGGCAUGCCUUCGCCCAGCACCCUCAAGAAAGAGCUGGGCCGCAAUGGUGGCUCCAUGCACCACCUUUCCCUCUUCUUCACAGGACACAGGAAGAUGAGCGGGGCUGACACUGUUGGGGAUGAUGACGAAGCCUCCCGGAAGAGAAAGAGCAAAAACCUAGCCAAGGACAUGAAGAACAAGCUGGGCAUCUUCAGACGGCGGAACGAGUCCCCUGGAGCCCCUCCUGCGGGCAAGGCAGACAAGAUGAUGAAGUCAUUCAAGCCCACCUCAGAGGAAGCCCUCAAGUGGGGCGAGUCCUUGGAGAAGCUGCUGGUUCACAAAUACGGGUUAGCAGUGUUCCAAGCCUUCCUUCGCACUGAGUUCAGCGAGGAGAAUCUGGAGUUCUGGUUGGCUUGUGAGGACUUCAAGAAGGUCAAGUCACAGUCCAAGAUGGCAUCCAAGGCCAAGAAGAUCUUUGCUGAAUACAUCGCAAUCCAGGCGUGCAAGGAGGUCAACCUGGACUCCUACACGCGGGAGCACACCAAGGACAACCUGCAGAGCGUCACGCGGGGCUGCUUCGACCUGGCACAGAAGCGCAUCUUUGGGCUCAUGGAAAAGGACUCGUACCCUCGCUUUCUCCGUUCUGACCUCUACCUGGACCUUAUUAACCAGAAGAAGAUGAGUCCCCCGCUUUAGGGGCCACUGGAGUCGAGCUCAGCGUUCACACCAGGCGGGCUGGGUCCCCUGCCCACCUGCCUCCCUCCCCCCUGUGACGGAGGGGGCAAGCAAGCCCCCAGAGGCUGUGUCUCUGGACAGACGGAUAGACAUACGGAAGCGAGGCCUGGACCAAGAGAGGCCCAGGCUACUGGAGGAGUAGAAGGAUGGGCCCCGUGGGGUCCCUACUGCCCCGGUACGAGGGGGCCCAAGGACCCUGGCAGGUCAGGGGCCCCGGCCAAGCCAGAUCUGGAGCUGCUGCUCCCUGCUGCGGAGACCACGGAGGCUUUGCGUUGACCAAGUUCCUUAAAGAACUGGCUGAUGGGGCAGGAGGUCCAGGCCUGGGCUCUCGGGCCCUCCUGGAGGGCCAUUGGAGCUCGCAGCUCAGACCCCCACUUUGAGUUUUAUUUAUUUAAAUAGUAGUUGGAUGCUUGGCACGUCGUCCUGUAAUAGGAAACCCUUGCCUCAUCAGUUUUCCUGAUUUACAAGUGCAAUAUUUUAGCCAAUGCCUUGUGAGAAGCUGCCAUGCAAAGGUGGACACCAUUCUCUAGCUUCAGGGGAUGUGCUCGUCUCAGGCACCGGUGGCAGGCAGCUGGCCUUCUGGACUAAGGCAGCCUGGGGGGACACUGCAGUCUGGCUACACACAGAGAUCUGGCACCCCCUGGGUGGAGUGUCCCUCGGGGGCUUUGGGAAAGCAUGGCACCCUCAGACCACACAGUAGCCGAGUUCUGGAGCAAAUAAAAGGCCUGUGUU
rnacentral:sRNA from 1 species